rnacentral:rRNA from 1 species
AUACGUAGGUGGCAAGCGUUGUCCGGAAUUAUUGGGCGUAAAGCGCGCGCAGGUGGUUCCUUAAGUCUGAUGUGAAAGCCCCCGGCUCAACCGGGGAGGGUCAUUGGAAACUGGGGAACUUGAGUGCAGAAGAGGAUAGUGGAAUUCCAAGUGUAGCGGUGACAUGCGUAGAGAUUUGGAGGAACACCAGUGGCGAAGGCGACUGUCUGGUCUGUAACUGACACUGAGGCGCGAAAGCGUGGGGAGCAAACAGGAUUAGAUACCCUGGUAGUCCACGCCGUAAACGAUGAGUGCUAAGUGUUGGGGGGUUUCCGCCCCUCAGUGCUGCAGCUAACGCAUUAAGCACUCCGCCUAGGGAGUACGGUCGCAAGACUGAAACUCAAAUGAAUUGGCGGGG